rnacentral:rRNA from 1 species
GAUGAACGCUGGCGGCGUGCCUAAUACAUGCAAGUCGAGCGAACGGACGAGAAGCUUGCUUCUCUGAUGUUAGCGGCGGACGGGUGAGUAACACGUGGAUAACCUACCUAUAAGACUGGGAUAACUUCGGGAAACCGGAGCUAAUACCGGAUAAUAUUUUGAACCGCAUGGUUCAAAAGUGAAAGACGGUCUUGCUGUCACUUAUAGAUGGAUCCGCGCUGCAUUAGCUAGUUGGUAAGGUAACGGCUUACCAAGGCAACGAUGCAUAGCCGACCUGAGAGGCUGAUCGGCCACACUGGAACUGGGACACGGUCCCGACUCCUACGGGAGGCAGCAGUAGGGAAUCUUCCGCAAUGGGCGAAAGCCUGACGGAGCAACGCCGCGUGAGUGAUGAAGGUCUUCGGAUCGUAAAACUCUGUUAUUAGGGAAGAACAUAUGUGUAAGUAACUGUGCACAUCUUGACGGUACCUAAUCAGAAAGCCACGGCUAACUACGUG